rnacentral:lncRNA from 1 species
AAUUUUGUGGUUUUGCCGAAGGCUGAAUACAAGCCUAUAGAAAAGUUGUUAUUUGUUGAACAUUUAAUUUCGUGGUUCGCCUGUACCCACAAAAGCAACGAAAAUUGGUAAUCAACAAAUAAUAAUGAAUUCACAGUAAUGUAUGAUUAGUAUUACAUGUAUAAUCACUUCAAUUAAUCUUUCAUUAUCAUGAUUAUUGUUGGUACUGUAAAUUCAGAAAUUAUUGCGAUAUUUUUAUUAUUGCUAAAAAUGUGACAGUGUUAUAAUCGCAAUAAUUUAAACUCAUAUUUUGAAAAAUAAGAUUAUGAAUUAGAUAUGAUUUUUGUCGAGCCUUCCACUUUAGUCGAAAAAGCGAGACAUAGCAAUCCUACAUUCCGUCGUCGUCGUAGUCGGUGGCUGAGGCGUCCACAAAUAUUCACUCUCUAGUUAAAAGUUUUUGAAAUUUUAAUAACUUUCUUAAACUAUCCUGAAUUUGUACCAAACUUGCACAGAAGCUUUUUUAUGAUCAUAAGAUAGUAUCCAGAAGUAAAUUUUGUAAAAAUAGAAUUCCUAUUUUUCGUAUUUUACUUGUAAAUGGACUUAGUUUUU